UACGAAGGUCCCGAGUGUUGUUCGGAAUCACUGGGCGUAAAGGGAGCGUAGGCGGCGCGGUAAGUCAGAUGUGAAAUCCCGGGGCUCAACCCCGGAACUGCAUCCGAUACUGCCGUGCUAGAGGAUUGGAGAGGUAGCUGGAAUUCUUGGUGUAGCAGUGAAAUGCGUGGAGAUCAAGAGGAACACUCGUGGCGAAAGCGAGCUACUGGACAAUAUCUGACGCUGAGUCUCGAAAGCGUGGGGAGCAAACAGG
rnacentral:rRNA from 1 species